UACGGAGGUGGCAAGCGUUGUUCGGAUUUAUUGGGUGUAAAGGGCAGGUAGGUGUCCUAGUAAGUUCUGGUUGAAAUCCUUCGGCUCAACCGGAGAACUGGUCAGAAAACUGCUAGGAUUGAGUGCGGGAGAGGAGAGCGGAAUUCCCGGUGUAAGGGUGAAAUCUGUAGAGAUCGGGAAGAACACCAGUGGCGAAAGCGGUUCUCUAGACCGUAACUGACACUGAACUGCGAAAGCUAGGGGAGCAAACAGG
rnacentral:rRNA from 1 species